rnacentral:rRNA from 1 species
GAUGAACGCUGACAGAAUGCUUAACACAUGCAAGUCAACUUGAACUUCGGUUUGUGUGGCGGACGGGUGAGUAACGCGUAAAGAACUUGCCUCACAGCUAGGGACAACAUUUGGAAACGAAUGCUAAUACCUGAUAUUAUGAUUAUAUGGCAUCGUAUAAUUAUGAAAGCUAUAUGCGCUGUGAGAGAGCUUUGCGUUCCAUUAGCUAGUUGGAGAGGUAACAGCUCACCAAGGCGAUGAUGGGUAGCCGGCCUGAGAGGGUGAUCGGCCACAAGGGGACUGAGACACGGCCCUUACACCUACGGGAGGCAGCAGGGGGGAAGAUUGGACAAUGGACCGAGAGUCUGAUCCAGCAAUUCUGUGUGCACGAUGAAGUUUUUCGGAAUGUAAAGUGCUUUCAGUUGGGAAGAAAAAAAUGACGGUACCAACAGAAGAAGUGACGGCUAAAUACGUG